CAUUAAAUGGCUGAAAGUAAGCAUCAGUCUCUUAAACUGUUUAAUAACAAAUUAACAAAUGUUUUUAAUGA
rnacentral:tRNA from 1 species